CGGAGUUUUGUUGGAUUGUUUACCGUGUGUCGGUGUUCAAUGCGGGUUUCUUCGGCGAGCUGGAGCCUGUGGAUAUUCGUCUCUUGACUGCAAAGGGUGCAGUUGUUGGCGUUGUGCUUAAUAGCAUCAUUGGCGGUGCUUUUGCUGUCCUUCCCCUUGAGAGCAACCGGAGUGUUGCAGGCCGGAGGCUAGGAGGUUUCUGCCUUUUCAUAUUGGUACGUAGCAGUCUUUUAUAUUGAUUGUAUCGCCCGUAGCAUGAUCACAUUUGACCCGCUGUAACUGCCCUCAUUAGGCUGCUUAGGUUGACUGUACGCCCCUCCCCGUUGCGAGGAAGUCCCUGUGAAUCCCCGGUUGCGGUGGCCUGCGCACUGCAAGUAACUGAGGCUUCCUUCUCCCACUGAGUGCUGUUUUGUUUACAGUGAGCUACAAUACAACUACCUUUUUAUCUGCGUCCUUCCCGCGUGCCCAGAUCCUCAGCGUGGUAAAGGGUCUGCAUGCGUGAUUGUGUGGUGCCAUUGGUUGACUGGGUGUGUGUGUGUGCAUGCUUAAUUGUGGGGUGUAUGUGUAUGCGGUCGUGUGUGCAUGUGGUUAUUUGGUUAGUUUUGUUUGGGUUUGUGUAGUUUCCUCAUCUUGUGUGUCAUAUAUUUAGUUUGUUUUGUCUCUGUAUUUUCUUUGUCCUUUUUGUGAAACCCCAUUGGUGGCAUGUUCCUCCCCAUGUCGUGGCGCUUAACACCGUUUCAUCUGCCUGGGUAAUUGUAGUGCUUUCUUUCUAAACGUGCCUGUUUGAGGGUGUAUUGGCUUGCUGUGCUGAGUAUAUCUGUCUGUGUAAAUCCCACUUUUGUUUUAUAACCGCCUAAUCAGACGGAAGGGGACAUCUAUCGGCCAUAGAGGCCUGGGCCAUAUGCUGUAUAACCGGUGUGGGUUUUGCUGUGUCUUACCCCUUUUCUUUUGUUUCAGGAGUGGAGGCUCUCGGCAGGGAGGCUGGGCCCCUGGUGGUGGGCAAUCUAUGUGUCUCACCGUCAGUGCAGUGUAGUGUCACCUUGGUGUGCCGUGUUCACGUGUGGUCUCUUUGACCCCUCUUCCAGAUCGCCUCCCUGCGGUAAGCCCUCCCUCCUAGUUUAUGUGUGUUUUCCUAUACCCAAAGAACCAGUAGGCCUUCUCUAACCAAACCAGUUCUGAGUGUGUGUGGCUGCCCCAUUUCCAUCUGAGUGCUUUGCACGCUUUUACUGUAUUGUAA